AACCCGCACUCUAUUUUCAUUUCAAUUUUCACACUCGCGCUUAUUCCUAUCUCUCUGAGUUCGCUCACAUAAAGCUCUGGUCUUAAUCAGAUUUAGAUUCUCCUUCUCUCUCAGAUCCAAUCCCUUCUUUCUCUCGUUUGAUCCAUCCCCAUCUCCAUCUCCAUCUAUGUCUGGUCGCUACCAAUCUCUACAUUAUUUUUGAAGCCCUAAUCUGAACAAUUUUUUUCGCAAAAAAGUUGAACCCAGUUUAUUUUUGAAUCUGAUUGAUUCUCGCUCUCAAAAUCUAUCAGUUAAUUGAAGCCCUAGAGUGGAAUUGUUGGAAGCCAUUGAGGAUGCAAGAAACCGACCAAUAAAGUUUCAUUGAGCUCUAUUCAAGCUUGAUUGAACGCAACAAAUUAAUCAGGUCACCAAUUUUUUCAUAUUGGAUCAACAGUUUUUAGCCUUGCAGAUCUCUUCUAUUGGUGCUACUUAUUCCACUUAGUUGGAGUUGCACAAUGCAUGAAAACUGAAUGGAGGGUGGUUGCAAUCUUUAACGUGCUUCUGUUUGUUGUCUUGGUUUCACAUUGAUUGCAAUCUAGCUCUCCUUUUGGAUUCAGAUUUCUUUUGGGAUUUUGAUGUCUAUGCGAUUAGCACUGUGUAAUAUUGGAUUUAUAACAUUUUGAUAUGUGCUGGAAUUAUUAUUUUAGAUGAUUUGCACAUUUUAAUAUUUAAAUUCUUAAUGGAAUAUGUGUUUUAUCUUC